rnacentral:rRNA from 1 species
GACGAACGCUGGCGGCGUGCUUAACACAUGCAAGUCGAACGGAAAGGCCCUGCUUUUGUGGGGUGCUCGAGUGGCGAACGGGUGAGUAACACGUGAGUAACCUGCCCUUGACUUUGGGAUAACUUCAGGAAACUGGGGCUAAUACCGGAUAGGAGCUCCUGCUGCAUGGUGGGGGUUGGAAAGUUUCGGCGGUUGGGGAUGGACUCGCGGCUUAUCAGCUUGUUGGUGGGGUAGUGGCUUACCAAGGCUUUGACGGGUAGCCGGCCUGUGAGGGUGACCGGCCACAUUGGGACUGAGAUACGGCCCAGACUCCGACGGGAGGCAGCAGUGGGGAAUAUUGCACAAUGGGCGGAAGCCUGAUGCAGCAACGCCGCGUGCGGGAUGACGGCCUUCGGGUUGUAAACCGCUUUCGCCUGUGACGAAGCGUGAGUGACGGUAAUGGGUAAAGAAGCACCGGCUAACUACGUG